rnacentral:rRNA from 1 species
GACGAACGCUGGCGGCGUGCUUAACACAUGCAAGUCGAACGGAAAGGCCCUGCUUUUGUGGGGUGCUCGAGUGGCGAACGGGUGAGUAACACGUGAGUAACCUGCCCUUGACUUUGGGAUAACUUCAGGAAACUGGGGCUAAUAUCGGAUAGGAGCUCCUGCUGCGUGGUGGGGGUUGGAAAGUUUCGGCGGUUGGGGAUGGACUCGCGGCUUAUCAGCUUGUUGGUGGGGUAGUGGCUUACCAAGGCUUUGACGGGUAGCCGGCCUGAGAGGGUGACCGGCCACAUUGGGACUGAGAUACGGCCCAGACUCCUACGGGAGGCAGCAGUGGGGAAUAUUGCACAAUGGGCGGAAGCCUGAUGCAGCAACGCCGCGUGCGGGAUGACGGCCUUCGGGUUGUAAACCGCUUUCGCCUGUGACGAAGCGUGAGUGACGGUAAUGGGUAAAGAAGCACCGGCUAACUACGUG